rnacentral:rRNA from 1 species
GACGAACGCUGGCGGCGUGCUUAACACAUGCAAGUCGAGCGGUAAGGCCCCUUCGGGGGUACACGAGCGGCGAACGGGUGAGUAACACGUGGGUGACCUGCCCUCAGCUCUGGGAUAAGCCUGGUAAACUGGGUCUAAUACCGGCUAUGACCUUUCCUCGCAUGGGGUUUGGUGGAAAGUUUUUUCGGCUGGGGAUGGGCCCGCGGCCUGUCUGCUGGUUGGUGGGGUGAUGGCCUACUAAGGGGGGGACGGGUGGCCGGCCUGGGAGGGCGACCGGCCACAGGGGGAGUGAGAGACGGGCCAGACUCCUGCGGGAGGAAGCAGGGGGGAAGAUGGCGCAAUGGGCGGAAGAUUGACGAAGCGACGGCGCGUGGGGGAGGACGGCCUGCGGGUUGUAAACCUCGUUCGACACGGACGAAGUUGGACGGUAGGGGUAGAAGAAGCACCGGCUAACUACGUG